CCAGGACAGCUGACAGGCUACUCAGCCUUCAGCAAAGGCAGGAGGCUUCCAAAGUUAUCACCCUUCGAAGCGCCUCCUCCUCUUCCUCCUCCUCCCUCUUUGCUUUGCCAAAUCUCCAGCCUCGAGGUCGCUUCACGUGCUCUGGCCGUGGGGGGCUUUCACAGGGGGGAAAAAAUCCACGCUCCUCCGCGCUCCGCGUCGUCCCAAGAAGUCAGCGCCAGGCGAAGGGAGACACCCACUCCGCCAACUAAGAGCAAAGGCGCGCAAAAGGCAACGCUUUGGGACUCUUCCCCACCUCCUUCCAGAGGGAACCAGCAGCGGCAACCGCCAGCCCCUCUCCGCCUCACGCUCGGGCUCCGCCAUUCCGCCAGAACCCUCUGCAUGCUGCUGAGGGCAGCUGGUGGUAGCCAGGGCGCGAGCCCCACUGCUUUCCCCCCUCCCUCGCCGCGCCUCGCCUCGCCUCGCCUCGUCGCGCCUGCCCGUUUGUGACCCCUCAGCCUAGACGCGCCGCGGAAAGGAGAGGCGAGGCGAGGCGAGGCGAGGCGAAGAGGGCAUUUCGGGCCGGCGGCGGAGACAAUGAACAGCGGCAAAAGCGAGCAAGAGCUCAGCCCGGGCGAGGCGAACUUGCAAGAGGAAGAGGUACGGACACUCUUUGUCAGUGGUCUGCCCCUGGAUAUCAAACCCCGAGAGCUCUAUCUGUUGUUCAGACCAUUCAAGGGGUAUGAAGGUUCUCUUAUUAAACUCACUUCAAAGCAGCCUGUGGGUUUCGUUAGCUUUGAUAGUCGCUCAGAAGCAGAAGCUGCUAAGAAUGCCUUGAAUGGAAUUCGUUUUGACCCAGAAAUUCCUCAGACGCUCCGACUAGAGUUUGCAAAGGCCAAUACGAAGAUGGCUAAGAGCAAAUUAGUGGGAACUCCUAAUCCCAGCACUCCUGCCACUCCCAAUGCAGUACCUCAGUUCAUUACCAGAGAGCCAUAUCCGCUGGCUCCCUCCCUCAGAGGCUACUUCUCAGGGCUGGAAGUCCCGUCAGUUCUGCUGAAUCCUGUGUAUCAGGUGUGUGAUGGCGGCUACACUCUGUCUUGUGGGUAUUAAUGCAUUCUUCCAAAAUCGCUACUGAUGUCUUACCUUCAUCUUCCAAAUUGCAGUGUGGUCGGCUUAAAAAAAAAAACCUCACACAAGCGUGGAUUCCUUCAAGACUUUGCCACAGCCUCUAUCACACAUCUUCUUAAAAAUAAAAUAGAAAUAUUGAAUAAUAAUGAUAAAAAUGCCAAAUCCAGUCUAAACAUCUGGUUGACUAUGUGAUGAACCAUAAUAAUAAUAAUAUGUUCCUCUUCUACAUUGUAUAAAAGUUUAAAUUCUAUAAGCAUGAAUGAAUUUGUUUGAAAAAAUUAUUUUCAAGCAGAGCAGCAAAGAGAAUAACUAUUUUUUAUACCAAGCAUUUAAAGUAAGAGGACUGUACCUUGGGUGGAAGAACUGAUUACUGUAUAUGUUUGAUUUUUAAAUAUGUAUAAUCUCUUUUCCUACCCUUUUAAGAUGCAUGUUCAAGGCAUGUUUUUAAAUCUGGUUCAGAUUUUUUAAAAAGUGUAUUGUUUGAAAUGCACAGACAUUUUGGUUAUCAAGUUUUGGAGCCUGAGAUGGUGUGUUUUAAAUAUAUGAAGUGUAUUCCUGUAAUAGUUAUUUUCAUGUUUCGCCUAAUUGUGCCAAAUUAUUGAGCAAGACAAUCAGCAAUAUAAUAGCUUUUUCAUGAUUGUAACAGUUGAUGUGCUGUACAUUAGCGGUGCCUGAUCGCUAGUUCCUGCUGUAUUUUUUCCCCUCUAUAUUUGGAUACGCAAUUGUGUGGGAAGAAGUAGUACACUGUAGAAAGUAGAAAGGCAAUUUCUAUUAUGAAUGAAAAUGUGCAGUCAUAAUUAUGAACAUUUCUGCAACUGUGUCUAUCAUAGUAUACUUCUCUUCAGACAAAUAUAUCUCAUGCAGUUGUGUGUAUUAUUUGGAAAAGGAAAAAGAAAAAAAAACCCUGGUAUUUAUGAGAACCCAUCCUGGAUGACCAAGCUGCCCAGGAAGUUAUGUACUCUAAAUCAAGUUUGUAGCAUCUACUUUUAUAACAACUUAUACACUGUGUGUGUAUGUGUGUGUAUCUUUGGAAGGUAGUUUAGUUUUGUGAUUUUGUUCCAGAUAUAAAGCGAACUGGUUCUGGUCAUUUAUUGUUAAUCAUAUUUUUGGGGAAGGUAAGGGGUGACUGGACCAUGGAUCAGAAAAUUGAACUUCAAUUGUUGAUCCCAGCACCUCAUGCCUAUGAAAAACGCCAAAGGUUUUUGCUGAAUCCGAUUCUAAUGAAAUGGCCAACCUUGGGAUAUUUGGCUUGCCAGCUAUUCUUGAUUUUUCCUAGGUGAUCUCAGUAGCAGGCGUAUGUAGUCAGCCCCAAAUCUAUGCACUGAUGCCAGAUGGUGGUUUUUGAGGUGGCAGCAGUAGCAGCCCCAUGUAAAGGAUUGCUCUCAUGGUCAGAAUUCCCUGCUGGGGAGAAAUCUUCAGGUGCCCACUUUUAAAUAGCUAUUCAACUUCACCUACUGUAUGUCUGUGCUCUUGGGGGAAAAAGAGGACAAUAGAUAAAGCUGCCUUUCUAGAAACAGAGCAAUACUGGGAAUGAUUUCAGGCACAGCUUGCCAAGGAAAAGCUACUUCAAACUUUCCACUUUCUUGAAGAGGUUUAUCUUUAGGAGCCAGAUAACAGCUGCAGCCUGUAGCCAUAUGACAUUACCCAGUCUAGGUGGACUUUAGUGCUACAAUGGGACUCUGGAAAAAUCGUGUUUUAAUUUUUAUUUUUUUGAAAAAAAGAGUUGUUUUCUUUCUAUUGAAGAGAACUCUCCCACAGAUCAGCUUUAGCUCAGGUGUGACUCACAAAUUCACCUGUAGCUAAAGGGUGCACCUCUUAGAAGCUAAUGACCUGAAUUACUGAAUUUUUAAAAAUCUGCUUCCUGUUUCCACUUUACAUGAAUAAGUGGUCUUUUGAAUUGAUUAGGGCUUGCUUCUGAGUGCACAAGAUUGCACCUGCUGUUCUUUGGACAGCUUGGAAUGCAACUACCUAGGGCAGAAGAGUUCUUGGAUCAAUCAUUCGCAUAAAAUUAUUCUUCCCUCUAUUGCUGAAGACUGCCAAUACCAGAAAUCCCUAACUGUUCUCCUUCCAGCUGCUAGCCCAGAGAUUUUACAAUAGUGACAAGUCUGACUUUGCUGGCCUGCUUAGUAGGGAAGCCAAUAGGGUUAGUAGGAUCAAAUUUUCAUGAAGCAGCUUCUCUGCCAGGAUUAUUAUCAAUCACCUAUCCUGAAAUAAGAUACAUUAUUUUGUAAGAAAUAUAAAUUAUAUGUCAAAAUAUAAAAGGCUUUAAGAAUGCAUACUUGCAAGAGGGUUGCUUGGCUUGUUCUCUGGAUGUGAUGCAGCUGCUACUCCUGAGAGUUGUACUCUGAACACAUCAGAAGAAACCCAAGUUGGAACUGAAAAAUACCCAUUACUAAACAAACAAUAUGGAUAAAUUGAACAAAUUUAAAAUGUAACUGUAGGUGGUUAAACAACCCUAAAAAGAUUUGUGCUGGAUUGUUUCAUAAAACACUUGACUUUUCUCUACGGCCUUUUACGGGCAGUGACUGAAUUAUACAAUGCUUCCAAUUUGUCUAUGAUUUUUUUUAAAGAAAAAAAGUUGUUAAAAGAUACUUUUCUAUUAUAAUUUUCUAAAAAUAAAAGCAAUGAAUAAAAUAAAAAUAUGGUCUAUGC